GCUAUUUCGCAUUUUUUGCCGAUUCGCACACAUUGGAAUGUGGCUAACUCCUCCUAAGGUUUUCGUCCCACUGACACCAAAUUUGCUCAGGCCAAUCUACACCCCAUGGCCAUUCAAAGUUGUAAAAAUCAUGACGCUGCACCCCAUGGUCUACGUUCUAGGGGGCGCCAAAGAGGACCCAAAUAUCCACAUUUUUAAAGUCUUAUAACUUUUUAUUUUUGUCCUCACUGGCCUCCAAGUUUUCUAGGAUGAUGCAAUGUCCAGCCAUCAACACAUUUGUGAAGGAAUUUUUUCUCCCCAAAAGAGCGCCCCCCAUGGCAGGAGAAAAAGUCAAGUUUUUCCUGCCCAUCGCUCAAUGGCUCAAACGCAUCGCUCUCUCGGCAAAACCGAAAGGAGGAGCAACUUGCCAUUUGGAUAUAUACUAGCUGUGUUUGUGCCCUCACUCAUGGUCCAGACUUUUUUCAAAAAGGACAUGGAGUUUGUCUGCAGCGAGCGUUUUGGUAGAAACUGCGCCUCCCAUUCAUUAUAAUGGUAAAUGACCACAGACAAGUGCGCACACCAUCUUUGGACCUUGAGUGUGACGCGAUCGGGAGGGGUAGGCGGUCGCGCUGGGGGCGGCGUGACACGGCUCGGGCCCGCCAGUGCCCCACCGGGGCCCUAGUUUCUUUUUCCUCCCCUUUGAACUGGAAAAUGGCCCACUUCCCACUGGCGAAAACUCAUGAAAUUUGGCAGGACGACCGGGCCUGGUAAAAAAAUUGAUAUUCCGAAGUCGCCCAAACAAAAAAAUGCAAAAUGGCUCCAUAGCGCCCCCUAAGGUGAAAAUUCACACUAUUGACUGUCACGCCUGUACCCUUUGUCAAAAUAACACAAAAAUUGACACACACAUGUAUCUCAAUAAGAUCUACAAAAAAGUCAGUACGGGCGUAUCUGUCAAAUGUACGGUUAAAGGGUUAUUUCGCAUUUUUUGCCGAUCCGCACACAUUGGAAUUUCGCUAACUCCUCCGAAGGCUUUCGUUCCACCGGCACCACAUUUGCUCAGGCCAAUCUACACCCCAUGGCCAUUAAAAGUUAUUCAAAUCAUGACGCUGCACCCCACGGUUUACGUUCUAGGGGGCGCCAAAGAUGACCCAAAUAUCCACAUUCUUAAAAGAAUCCACAUCCCCCCCCCCAUCCCCCAUCCCCCAUCCCCCAUGGCAGGAGAAACAGUCAAGUUUUUCCUGCCCAUCACUCACUGGCAGCUGCUAAGCAGCUGCGAGAGCCCUGUUGUUCCUGAUGAGUUUUUCUUUGUUUCUUUCUUUCUUCUUUAGGGCCCGAGCGUAGCUGCUAAGCAGCUGCGAGGCCCUAUUAUUCCUGUAGUGGUUUUUCUUUGUUAGGGCCCGAGCGUAGCUGCUAAGCAGCUGCGAGAGCCCUAUUAUUCCCCAAGUGGUUUUUCUUUGUUUCUUCUUUCUUUCUUUCUUAUUUUUCCUCCCCUUUGAACUGGAAAAUGGCCCACUUCCCACUGGCGAAAACUCAUGAAAUUUGGCAGGAUGACCGGGCCUGGUGAAAAAUUUGAUAUUCCGAAGUCGCCCAAACAAGAAAAUGCAAAAUGGCUCCAUAGCGCCCCCUAAGGUGAAAAUUCACACUAUUGACUGUCACGCCUUUACGCUUUGUCAAAAUGACACAAAAAUUGACACACACGUGUAUCUCAAUAAGAUCUACAAAAAAGUCAGUGCGGGCAUAUCUGUCAAAUGUACGGUUAAAGGGUUAUUCCGCAUUUUUUGCCGAUCCGCACACAUUGGAAUUUCGCUAACUCCUCCGAAGGCUUUCGUUCCACCGGCACCACAUUUGCUCAGGCCAAUCUACACCCCAUGGCCAUUAAAAGUUAUUCAAAUCAUGACGCUGCACCCCACGGUUUAGGUUCUAGGGGGCGCCAAAGAUAACCCUAAAAUCCACAUAUUUAAAAGUCUUAUAACUUUUUAUUUUUGUCCUCACUGGCCUCCAAGUUUUCUAGGAUGAUGCAAUGUCCAGCCAUCAACACAUUUGUGAAGGAAUUUUUACUCCCCAAAAGAGCGCCCCCCCAUGGAAGGAGAAAAAAGUCCAUUUUUUCUUGUCCCGUAAGGUGAAAAUUCACAUUGUUGAGUGUGACACCUGUACGCUUUGUCAUAUUGACACAAAAUUUGACAAUCACGUGUAUCUCAAUAAGAUCUACGAAAAAGUCAAUGGGUGCAUAUCUGUCAAAUGUACGGUUAGAGGGCUAUUUUGCAUUUUUUGCCGAUUCGCACACAUUGGAAUGUGGCUAACUCCACCUAAGGCUUUCGUCCCACUGAAACCAAAUUUGCUCAGGCCAAUCUACACGCCAUGGCCAUUCAAAGUUGUAAAAAUCAGGACGCUGCACCCCACGGUUUACGUUCUAGGGGGCGCCAAAGAUGACCAAAAAAUCCACAUUCUUAAAAGAAUCCACAUUCUCCCCCCCCAUGGCACGAGAAAAAGUCAAGUUUUUCCUGCCCAUCGCUCAAUGGCUCAAUCGCAUCACUCUCCAGGCAACACCGUAAGGAGGAGCAACCUGCCAUUUGGAUAUAUCCCAGCUGUGUUUGUGCCCUCACUCAUGGUCCAGACUUUUUUCAAAUAGGACAUGAAGUUUGUCUGCAGCGAGUGUUUUGGUAGAAACUGCGCCUCCCAUUCAUUAUAAUGGGAAAUGACCACAGACAAGUGCGCACACCAUCUUUGGACCUUGAGUGUGACGCGAUCGGGAGGGGGAGGCGGUCACGCUGGGGGCGGCACGACGCGGCUCGGGCCCGACAGUGCCCCAACGGGGCCCUAGUCUUUGUUAGGGCCCGAGCGUAGCUGCUAAGCAGCUGCGAGAGCCCUAUUAUUCCUGAUGGAUUCUUCUUUCUUCUUUAGGGCCCGAGCGUAGCUGCUAAGCAGCUGCGAGAGCCCUAUUAUUCCUGAUGGAUUCUUCUUUCUUUAGGGCCCGAGCGUAGCUGCUAAGCAGCUGCGAGAGCCCUCUUGUUCCUGCAUGUUUCCUUCUUUCGUUAUUAUUUUUCCUCCGCUUCAAACUGGAAAAUGCCCCACUUCCCACUGGCGAAAACUCAGGACAUUUGGCAGGACGACCGGGCCUGGUGAAAAAUUCGAUAUUCUGAAGUCGCCCAAACAAUAAAAUGCAAAAUGGCUCCAUAGCGCCCCCUAAGGUGAAAAUUCACAUGACGGCUGUACGCUUUGUCAUAUUGACACAAAAAUUGACACACACAUGUAUCUCAAUAAGAUCUACAAAAAAGUCAGUGCGGGCGUAUCUGUCAAAUGUACGGUUAAUGGGUUAUUUUGCAUUUUUUGCAGAUCUGCACACAUUGGAAUUUCGCUAACUCCUCCGAAGGCUUUCGUUUGACCGGCACCACAUUUGCGCAGGCCAAUCUACCCCCCAUGGCCAUUAAAAGUUGUACAAAUCAUGACGCUGCACCCCACGGUUUACGUUCUAGGGGGCGCCAAAGAUAACCCAAAAAUCCACAUUCUUAAAAGUCUUAUAACUUUUUACUUUUGUCCUCACUGGCCUCCAAGUUUUCUAGGAUGAUGCAAUGUCCAGCCAUCAACACAUUUGUGAAGGAAUUUUUACUCGCCAAAAGAGCGCCCCCCAUGGCAGGAGAAAAAAGUCAAUUUUUUCUUGUCCCCUAAGGCGAAUAUACACAUUGUUGAGUGUCACGCCUGUACGCUUUGUCAUAUUGACACAAAAAUUAACACACACAUGUAUCUCAAUAAGAUCUACGAAAAAGUCAAUGUGCGCGUAUCUGUAAAAUGUACAGUUAAAGGGCUAUUUCGCAUUUUUUGCCGAUUCGCACACAUUGGAAUGUGGCUAACUCCUCCUAAAGCUUUCGUCCCAUCGGCACCAAAUUUGCUCAGGCCAAUCUACACCCCAUGGCCAUUCAAAGUUGUACAAAUCAUGACGCUGCAUCCCACGGUUUACGUUCUAGGGGGCGCCAAAGAUGACCCAAAUAUCCACAUUUUUAAAAGUCUUAUAACUUUAUUUUUGUCCUCACUGGCCUCCAAGUUUUCUAGGAUGAUGCAAUGUCCAGCCAUCAACACAUUUGUGAAGGAAUUUUUACUCCCCAAAAGAGCGCCCCCCCAUGGCAGGAGAAAAAAGUCAAUUUUUUCUUGUCCCGUAAGGUGAAAAUUCACAUUGUUGAGUGUGACACCUGUACGCUUUGUCAUAUUGACACAAAAUUUGACAAUCACGUGUAUCUCAAUAAGAUCUACGAAAAAGUCAAUGGGUGCGUAUCUGUCAAAUGUACGGUUAGAGGGCUAUUUUGCAUUUUUUGCCGAUUCGCAUACAUUGGAAUGUGGCUAACUCCUCCUAAGGCUUUCGUUCCACCGGCACCACAUUUGCUCAGGCCAAUCUACACCCCAUGGCCAUUCAAAGUUGUAAAGCUCAGGACGCUGCACCCCACGGUUUAUGUUCUAGGGGGCGCCAAAGAUGACCAAAAAAUCCACAUUCUUAAAAGAAUCCACAUUCUCCCCCCCCAUGGCACGAGAAAAAGUCAAGUUUUUCCUGCCCAUCGCUCAAUGGCUCAAUCGCAUCGCUCUCCAGGCAACACCGUAAGGAGGAGCAACCUGCCAUUUUGAUAUAUUCCAGCUGUGUUUGUGCCCUCACUCAUGGUCCAGACUUUUUUCAAAAAGGACAUGAAGUUUGUCUGCAGCGAGUGUUUUGGUAGAAACUGCGCCUCCCAUUCAUUAUAAUGGGAAAUGACCACAGACAAGUGCGCACACCAUCUUUGGACCUUGAGUGUGACGCGAUCGGGAGGGGGAGGCGGUCACGCUGGGGGCGGCACGACGCGGCUCGGGCCCGACAGUGCCCCACCGGGGCCCUAGUCUUCUUCUUCUUCUUCUUAUUAGGGCCCGAGCGUAGCUGCUAAGCAGCUGCGAGAGCCCUCUUGUUCCUGAUGGAUUCUUCUUUUGUUAUUAUUAUUAUUAGGGCCCGAGCGUAGCUGCUAAGCAGCUGCGAGAGCCCUCUUGUUCCUGAUGGAUUCUUCUUUUGUUAUUAUUAUUAUUACUUUUCCUCCGCUUUAAACUGGAAAAUGGCCCACUUCCCACUGGCGAAAACUCAGGAAAUUUGGCAGGACGACCGGGCCUGGUGAAAAAUUCGAUAUUCUGAAGUCGCCCAAACAAUAAAAUACAAAAUGGCUCCAUAGCGCCCCCUAAGGUGAAAAUUCACACUAUUGACUGUCACGCCUGUACGCUUUGUCAUAUUGACACAAAAAUUGACACACACAUGUAUCUCAAUAAGAUCUACAAAAAAGUCAGUGCGGGCGUAUCUGUCAAAUGUACGGUUAAAGGGUUAUUUCGCAUUUUUUGCAGAUCCGCACACAUUGGAAUUUCGCUAACUCCUCCGAAGGCUUUCGGUCCACCGGCACCACAUUUGCUCAGGCCAAUCUACACUCCAUGGCCAUUCAAAGUUGUACAAAUCAUGAUGCUGCACCCCAUGGUUUAGGUUCUAGGGGGCGCCAAAAAUAACCCUAAAAUCCACAUUCUUAAAAGUUUUAUAACUUUUUAUUUUUGCCCUCACUGGCCUCCAAGUUUUCUAGGAUGAUGCAAUGUCCAGCCAUCAACACAUUUGUGAAGGAAUUUUUACUCCCCAAAAGAGCGCCCCCCCCCCCAUGGCAGGACAAAAAAGUCAAUUUUUUCUUGUCCCCUAAGGUGAAAAUACACAUUGUUGAAUGCCACGCCUGUACGCUUUGUCAUAUUGACACAAAAUUUGACAAUCACGUGUAUCUCAAUAAGAUCUACAAAAAAGUCAACGCGCGCGUAUCUGUAAAAUGUACGGUUAAAGGGCUAUUUCGCAUUUUUUGCCGAUUCGCACACAUUGGAAUGUGGCUAACUCCUCCUAAGGUUUUCGUCCCACUGACACCAAAUUUGCUCAGGCCAAUCUACACCCCAUGGCCAUUCAAAGUUGUAAAAAUCAUGACGCUGCACCCCAUGGUCUACGUUCUAGGGGGCGCCAAAGAGGACCCAAAUAUCCACAUUUUUAAAGUCUUAUAACUUUUUAUUUUUGUCCUCACUGGCCUCCAAGUUUUCUAGGAUGAUGCAAUGUCCAGCCAUCAACACAUUUGUGAAGGAAUUUUUUCUCCCCAAAAGAGCGCCCCCCCAUGGCAGGAGAAAAAGUCAAGUUUUUCCUGCCCAUCGCUCAAUGGCUCAAACGCAUCGCUCUCUCGGCAAAACCGAAAGGAGGAGCAACUUGCCAUUUGGAUAUAUACUAGCUGUGUUUGUGCCCUCACUCAUGGUCCAGACUUUUUUCAAAAAGGACAUGGAGUUUGUCUGCAGCGAGCGUUUUGGUAGAAACUGCGCCUCCCAUUCAUUAUAAUGGUAAAUGACCACAGACAAGUGCGCACACCAUCUUUGGACCUUGAGUGUGACGCGAUCGGGAGGGGUAGGCGGUCGCGCUGGGGGCGGCGUGACACGGCUCGGGCCCGCCAGUGCCCCACCGGGGCCCUAGUUAUUAUUUUUCCUCCGCUUUAAACUGGAAAAUGGCCCACUUCCCACUGGCGAAAACUCAUGAAAUUUGGCAGGACGACCGGGCCUGGUGAAAAAUUCGAUAUUCUGAAGUCGCCCAAACAAGAAAAUGCAAAAUGGCUUAAUAGCGCCCCCAAAGGUGAAAAUUCACACUAUUGACUGUCACGCCUGUACGCUUUGUCAUAUUGACACAAAAAUUGACACACACAUGUAUCUCAAUAAGAUCUACAAAAAAGUCAGUGCGGGCGUAUCUGUCAAAUGUACGGUUAAAGGGUUAUUUCGCAUUUUUUGCCGUUCCGCACACAUUGGAAUUUCGCUAACUCCUCCGAAGGCUUUCGUUCCACCAGCACUACAUUUGCUCAGGCCAAUCUACACCCCAUGGCCAUUGAAAGUUGUACAAAUCAUGACGCUGCACCCCACGGUUUACGUUCUAGGGGGCGCCAAAGAUAACCCACAAAUCCACAUUCUUAAAAAUCUUAUAACUUUUUAUUUUUGUCCUCAUUGGCCUCCAAGUUUUCUAGGAUGAUGCAAUGUCCAGCCAUCAACACAUUUGUGAAGGAAUUUUUACUCCCCAAAACAGCGCCCCCCCCCAUGGCAGGACAAAAAAGGCCAUUUUUUCUUGUCCCCUAAGGUGAAAAUACACAUUGUUCAAUGUCACGCCUAUACGCUUUGUCAUAUUGACACAAAAUUUGACACACACGUGUAUCUCAAUAAGAUCUACGAAAAAGUCAAUGGGCACAUAUCUGUAAAAUGUACAAUUAAAGGGCUAUCUUGCAUUUUUUGCCGAUUCGCACACAUUGGAAUGUGGCUAACUCCUCCUAAGGCUUUCGUUCUACUGACACCAAAUUUGCUCAGGCCAAUCUACACCCCAUGGCCAUUCAAAGUUGUACAAAUCAUGACGCUGCACCCCACGGUUUAGGUUCUAGGGGGCGCCAAAGAUGACCCAAAUAUCCACAUUUCUAAAAGUCUUAUAACUUUUUAUUUUUGUCCUCACUGGCCUCCAAGUUUUCUAGGAUGAUGCAAUGUGCAGCCAUCAACACAUCUGUGAAGGAAUUUUUUCUCCCCAAAAGAGCACCCCCCCCCCCCCCCCCCAUGGCAGGAGAAAAAGUCAAGUUUUUCCAGCCCAUCGCUUAAUGGCUCAAACGCAUUUCUCUCCCGCUAAAACCAAAAGGAGGAGCAACUUACCAUUUGGAUAUGUCCUAGCUGUGUUUUUGCCCUCACUCAUGGUCCAGAGUUUUUUCAAAUAGGACAUGUAGUUUGUCUGCAGCGAGCGUUUUGGUAGAAACUGUGCCUCCCAUUCAUUAUAAUGGGAAAUGACCAAAGACAGGUGCGCACACCAUCUUUGGACCUUGACUUUGACGUCACAGUUUGAGAUACAAAUGUUAUUUGACCUCUGACCUUUGGUGGACACCCUAACCUUUCAACCCGCGAAAACGGCGUUUCAAUAGCUCUUACGGCUUUCCUACAAAUACACUUUGUUCAGCUACUCCUACUGUCCUUUAAGCUCUGCUUCUCAGAUCAUCAAAGAGUGUGCACGUGUGUAAUGAGCGCAUAUUGAAUGUUAAUUAUGUUAAAUAUGUUAAUUAUUAGAAGAAAAAACAACAACAGUCCUUUUGGACAAAAUUUCCUUUUAUUACAGAAUUAGAAUAAUGGAAGCAUAGUCCAAGGAAACCAUUCAAGUGAUGUCAUACCUCAUAAUUUAUUGAGAUGUUGGCUAGUCUGGGCAUUUCUUCAUUCAUCAGGUUUCCUGCAUGCAUACUAACAGAGCACAUCAGUAGCAGUGAGUGAUAAGUAUGAGUGUGUCAUUGUGUAAGAAAGAAAGUGGUUUACUUACACAUCCAUAGAAAAUAGGUGGUUGAGCACAGCACGCAAACAAAGCUUUGCCACAACGGUUGAACUUCCCAAGUAGCUGAUACCAAGGUCACGCAAUCAUGGUGAGCAAAGGUCAAACCAGGCCAGGCACUCACGAGGCUGGCUGUGGCAAGUGUAAGUGAAAGCAACACGCAAUGGCAGGAAGAACAGCAAACACCGAUGAAGGAAAAGGGUCUUUGCAGUGAUGGGCGUCACCAGAGAGGGCGAUGGCCAGAGGGCACGAAUGGGACGGGGAGGCGGUCGCGCUGGGGGCGGCGCGAUGCGGCUCGGGCCCGCCAGUGCCCCAACGGGGCCCUAGUUAUUUUUCUGCCCCUUUGAACUGGAAAAUGGCCCACUUCCCACUGGUGAAAACUCAUGAAAUUUGGCAGGACGACCGGGCCUGGUGAAAAAUUCGAUAUUCUGAAGUCAACCAAACAAUUAAAUGCAAAAUGGCUCCAUAGCGCCCCCUAAGGUGAAAAAUUCACAUGAUUGAGUGUCACGCCUGUACGCUUUGUCAAAAUGACACAAAAUUUGACACACACGUGUAUCUCAAUAAGAUCUACAAAAAAGUCAGUGCGGGCGUAUCUGUCAAAUGUACGGUUAAAGGGUUAUUUCGCAUUUUUUGCCGAUCCGCACACAUUGGAAUUUCGCUAACUCCUCCUAAAUCUUUUGUCCCAUCGGCUUCAAAUUUGCUCAGGUCAAUCUACACCCCAUGGCCAUUCAAAGUUGUACAAAUCAUGACGCUGCACCCCACAGUUUACGUUCUAGGGGGCGCCAAAGAGGACCCAAAUAUCCACAUUUUUAAAAGUCUUAUAACUUUUUAUUUUUGUCCUCACUGGCCUCCAAGUUUUCUAGGAUGAUGCAAUGUCCAGCCAUCAACACAUUUGUGAAGGAAUUUUUUCUCCCCAAAAGAGCGCCCCCCCAUGGCAGGAGAAAAAGUCAAGUUUUUCCUGCCCAUCGCUCAAUGGCUCAAACGCAUCGCUCUCUCUGCAAAACCGAAAGGAGGAGCAACUUGCCAUUUGGAUAUAUACUAGCUGUGUUUGUGCCCUCACUCAUGGUCCAGACUUUUUUCAAAUAGGACAUGUAGUUUGUCUGCAGCGAGCGUUUUGGUAGAAACUGCGCCUCCCAUUCAUUAUAAUGGGAAAUGACCACAGACAAGUGCGCACACCAUCUUUGGACCUUGAGUGUGACGCGAUCGGGAGGGGGAGGCGGUCGCGCUGGGGGCGGCGCGACGCGGCUCGGGCCCGACAGUGCCCCACCGGGGCCCUAGUUAGGGCCCGAGCGUAGCUGCUAAGCAGCUGCGAGAGCCCUCUUGUUCCUGAUGGAUUCUUCUUUAGGGCCCGAGCGUAGCUGCUAAGCAGCUGCGAGAGCCCUCUUGUUCCUGCAUGUUUCCUUCUUUUGUUAUUAUUAGGGCCCGAGCCAGCUGCAGAGCAGCCGGGCGUAGGCCCUAUUAUUCCCCAAGUGGUUUUUCUUUGUUUCUUUGUUUAGGGCCCGAGCGUAGCUGCUAAGCAGCUGCGAGAGCCCUAUUAUUCCCCAAGUGGUUUUUCUUUGUUUCUUUCUUUCUUUAGGGCCCGAGCGUAGCUGCUAAGCAGCUGCGAGAGCCCUAUUAUUCCCCAAGUGGUUUUUCUUUGUUUCUUUCUUUCUUCUUUUUCCUCCCCUUUGAACUGGAAAAUGGCCCACUUCCCACUGGCGAAAACUCAUGAAAUUUGGCAGGAUGAUCGGGCCUGGUGAAAAAUUUGAUAUUCCGAAGUCGCCCAAACAAGAAAAUGCAAAAUGGCUCCAUAGCGCCCCCUAAGGUGAAAAUUCACACUAUUGACUGUCACGCCUUUACGCUUUGUCAUAUUGACACAAAAAUUGACACACACAUGUAUCUCAAUAAGAUCUACAAAAAAGUCAGUGCGGGCGUAUCUGUCAAAUGUACGGUUAAAGGGUUAUUCCGCAUUUUUUUCCGAUCCACACACAUUGGAAUUUCGCUAACUCCUCCGAAGGCUUUCGUUCCACCGGCACCACAUUUGCUCAGGCCAAUCUACACCCCAUGGCCAUUAAAAGUUAUUCAAAUCAUGACGCUGCACCCCACGGUUUAGGUUCUAGGGGGCGCCAAAGAUAACCCUAAAAUCCACAUAUUUAAAAGUCUUAUAACUUUUUAUUUUUGACCUCACUGGCCUCCAAGUUUUCUAGGAUGAUGCAAUGUCCAGCCAUCAACACAUUUGUGAAGGAAUUUUUAAUCCCCAAAAGAGCGCCCCCCCAUGGCAGGAGAAAAAAGUCCAUUUUUUCUUGUCCCCUAAGGUGAAAAUACACAUUGUUGAGUGUCACGCCUGUAUGCUUUGGCAAAAUGACACAAAAAUUGACACACACAUGUAUCUCAAUAAGAUCUACGAAAAAGUCAAUGCGCGCAUAUCUGUCAAAUGUACGGUUAAAGGGUUAUUCCGCAUUUUUUGCUGAUCCGCACACAUUGGAAUUUCGCUAACUCCUCCGAAGGCUGGCGUUCCACCGGCACCACAUUUGCUCAGGCCAAUCUACACCCCAUGGCCAUUCAAAGUUAUUCAAAUCAUGACGCUGCACCCCACGGUUUAGGUUCUAGGGGGCGCCAAAGAUAACCCUAAAAUCCACAUAUUUCAAAGUCUUAUAACUUUUUAUUUUUGUCCUCACUGGCCUCCAAGUUUUCUAGGAUGAUGCAAUGUCCAGCCAUCAACACAUUUGUGAAGGAAUUUUUACUCCCCAAAAGAGCGCCCCCCCAUGGCAGGAGAAAAAAGUCCAUUUUUUCUUGUCCCCUAAGGUGAAAAUACACAUUGUUGAGUGUCACGCCUAUACGCUUUGUCAAAAUGACACAAAAAUUGACACACACAUGUAACUCAAUAAGAUCUACGAAAAAGUCAAUGCGCGCGUAUCUGUCAAAUGUACGGUUAAAGGGUUAUUCCGCAUUUUUUGCCGAUCCGCACACAUUGGAAUGUGGCUAACUCCUCCGAAGGCUUUCGUUCCACCGGCACCACAUUUGCUCAGGCCAAUCUACACCCCAUGGCCAUUAAAAGUUAUUCAAAUCAUGACGCUGCACCCCACGGUUUAGGUUCUAGGGGGCGCCAAAGAUAACCCUAAAAUCCACAUAUUUAAAAGUCUUAUAACUUUUUAUUUUUGUCCUCACUGGCCUCCAAGUUUUCUAGGAUGAUGCAAUGUCCAGCCAUCAACACAUUUGUGAAGGAAUUUUUACUCCCCAAAAGAGCGCCCCCCCAUGGCAGGAGAAAAAAGUCCAUUUUUUCUUGUCCCCUAAGGUCAAAAUUCACAUUGUUGAGUGUGACACCUGUACGCUUUGUCAUAUUGACACAAAAUUUGACAAUCACGUGCCUUGCCUGGUAUCAUUUUUUUCAAAUUCACACACAAAACAUAAAAUCCGAGUGGAAAAAAGUAACAUUUUUACUGUGAAAACCACAAAUAUGUGUGAUGAACUGUUUUUAAAACUUAAACUUCAAAUAAAAAUUGUAAACUUCAAAACAUAUGCAAAUUUUUAACAAAGAACAUAGUGAUUUACCUCUAUUUACAUCAAAAUGCAGGCAAUGGCCCAGGCGUUCUUUGUAAAAUUAUUUACAAAACACUGUAUAGUCUCACAAAUGUCACUUUUUAUUUAUGCCACUACAAAAAAACAUGAUGUAAAUGAUGCAUGAUGUAAAACAUGAUGUAAAAAACUUGCGUAGAUCCUCCUCUAUGUCAGUCCAUGUGUAAUUUUUCCAUAAUUCUUUGUUUUUUGCAGCAUUUUUGUUAGUGUAACUGCAGAUUGUGCUGACAGUGUCUAUGGCAAAAAAAAAAAAAAACUGAAAAUGCCUCAACAUGAACUCCUGGUGGUCUCUGAGGGUGAAACCUGCUAACUGCUGCAGCUCUCUCAGCUCUAGUCUCCCAUGCAGAGCUCGGAGCGCAUGUGUGGCUCUGCACCCUUAGCAGCGUUGCUAACUCCUCAGUAAGGAAAGCCUGCUUCAUGUCAGAGUCUCUAAACUCCAGAGGAAGUCGAUAAAAUUCCCUUUCUUUCUAAAAAAAAGUCGUUAGGGGGUCUGAAAAGUCAUUGAAUCUAACAACAAAGUCGCUAGGUUUGCAACUACGUUUCCCAGACUGCAUCCCUGCUGAGAGUUCCUCCCUCCCUUCUCAUAUUGCAGGAAGAACGUAAGCGCCCGCCCCUUGUCAAUCAGUCACCAUAUAAUUUUGGAUUGGUUGUUGUGGUGAAGUUUUCCACCAAUAGGAGAGAUGUUGUGGUGUGUUUUUUUUUUCUUUUGGCAUGCCUUUUCCGCCUGUAAGAGCUGUCGCUAAUGUCUGCAUGCUAUGUUUUCCUGUC